AGUUUUAUGCCGUGGCAGUAUUGCAGCCAAUGAGGUUUAUCUGAGGCAUGAUUAUUGCUAAUUGAAAAAUGUAGACAAGAUGAAUUUGCAUCAACCAUGUAAUGCUCCAUUCUUUAAAAAGUUGAUAUAGGC
ensembl:snRNA U4 U4 spliceosomal RNA